GAGGAGAUAGCUCAGUGGUAGAGAAUUUGCCUAGUAUGCACAAGGCCCUGGGCUCAGUUCCCAGUAACCCUG
rfam:Heterocephalus glaber contig53478, whole genome shotgun sequence.